GUGGGGAAUAUUGCACAAUGGGCGAAAGCCUGAUGCAGCAACGCCGCGUGAGGGACGACGGCCUUCGGGUUGUAAACCUCUUUUAGUAGGGAAGAAGCGAAAGUGACGGUACCUGCAGAAAAAGCACCGGCUAACUACGUGCCAGCAGCCGCGGUAAUACGUAGGGUGCAAGCGUUAUCCGGAAUUAUUGGGCGUAAAGAGCUCGUAGGCGGUCUGUCGCGUCUGCUGUGAAAACUGGAGGCUCAACCGCCAGCCUGCAGUGGGUACGGGCAGACUAGAGUGCGGUAGGAGAGAUUGGAAUUCCUGGUGUAGCGGUGGAAUGCGCAGAUAUCAGGAGGAACACCGAUGGCGAAGGCAGAUCUCUGGGCCGUAACUGACGCUGAGGAGCGAAAGCGUGGGGAGCGAACAGGAUUAGAAACCCGGGUAGUCC
rnacentral:rRNA from 1 species